rnacentral:rRNA from 1 species
UACGUAGGUGGCAAGCGUUUGUCCGGAAUUAUUGGGCGUAAAGCGCGCGCAGGCGGUUCCUUAAGUCUGAUGUGAAAGCCCACGGCUCAACCGUGGAGGGUCAUUGGAAACUGGGGAACUUGAGUGCAGAAGAGGAGAGCGGAAUUCCACGUGUAGCGGUGAAAUGCGUAGAGAUGUGGAGGAACACCAGUGGCGAGGGCGGCUCUCUGGUCUGUAACUGACGCUGAGGCGCGAAAGCGUGGGGAGCAAACAGG